rnacentral:rRNA from 1 species
GAUGAACGCUGGCGGCGUGCCUAACACAUGCAAGUCGAACGGACAUUUUUUGGAAAGCUCUUCGGAACUGGAAUCUAAAUGUUAGUGGCGGACGGGUGAGUAACGCGUGAGCAAUCUGCCUUUCAGAGGGGGAUAACAGCCGGAAACGGCUGCUAAUACCGCAUGAUGCAGCUGGGUCGCAUGACCCUGGCUGCCAAAGAUUUAUCGCUCUGAGAUGGCCUCGCGUCUGAUUAGCUAGUAGGCGAGGUAACGGCCCACCUAGGCGACGAUCAGUAGCCGGACUGAGAGGUUGACCGGCCACAUUGGGACUGAGACACGGCCCAG